rnacentral:rRNA from 1 species
UACGAAGGGGGCUAGCGUUGUUCGGAAUUACUGGGCGUAAAGCGCACGUAGGCGGAUACUUAAGUCAGGGGUGAAAUCCCGGGGCUCAACCCCGGAACUGCCUUUGAUACUGGGUAUCUCGAGUCCGGAAGAGGUGAGUGGAAUUCCGAGUGUAGAGGUGAAAUUCGUAGAUAUUCGGAGGAACACCAGUGGCGAAGGCGGCUCUCUGGACCGAGACUGACGCUGAGGCGCGAAAGCGUGGGAGCGAACAGGAUUACG